GACGAACGCUGGCGGCGUGCCUAAUACAUGCAAGUAGAACGCUGAAGGAGGAGCUUGCUUCUCUGGAUGAGUUGCGAACGGGUGAGUAACGCGUAGGUAACCUGCCUGGUAGCGGGGGAUAACUAUUGGAAACGAUAGCUAAUACCGCAUAAGAGUAGAUGUUGCAUGACAUUUGCUUAAAAGGUGCAAUUGCAUCACUACCAGAUGGACCUGCGUUGUAUUAGCUAGUUGGUGAGGUAACGGCUCACCAAGGCGACGAUACAUAGCCGACCUGAGAGGGUGAUCGGCCACACUGGGACUGAGACACGGCCCAGACUCCUACGGGAGGCAGCAGUAGGGAAUCUUCGGCAAUGGACGGAAGUCUGACCGAGCAACGCCGCGUGAGUGAAGAAGGUUUUCGGAUCGUAAAGCUCUGUUGUAAGAGAAGAACGAGUGUGAGAGUGGAAAGUUCACACUGUGACGGUAUCUACCA
rnacentral:rRNA from 1 species